UGCCCAGCAACUCCUAUCCCUACCUCCACGCGGUACCGGCCGGAAACUAAGAGCAACCUUAGGGAAGA
rnacentral:ribozyme from 1 species